UAGUCAUAUGCUUGUCUCAAAGAUUAAGCCAUGCAAGUCUAAGUAUUAGUUUUAAUACAACGAAACUGCGAAUGGCUCAUUACAACAGUUAUAAUUUACGUGAAGAUAAUUACUACACGGAUAACCGUGGUAAUUCUGGAGCUAAUACGUGCCUAACACCUGAUUCCUCGGAUGAAGGUGGCGCUUAUUAGAUUGAGAAUCAACCUAUGCUUUGCAUAGAACUUUGGAUGAUCCAUAAUAAGUUUGCGAAUCGCAUGACUAUGGUCGGCGAUAGUUCACUUAAGUUUCUGACCUAUCAGCUUUCGACGGUAGGGUAUUGGCCUACCGUGGCAUUGACGGGUAACGGGGAAUUAGGGUUUGAUUCCGGAGAGGGAGCCUGAGAAACGGCUACCACAUCUAAGGAAGGCAGCAGGCGCGCAAAUUACCCAAUCCUAACGCAGGGAGGUAGUGACAAGAAAUAUCAAUGCAGAUCUCUUUAGGUUUGCAAUUGGAAUGAGUAAAAUCUAAACCCCUUUACAAGUAUCAAUU
rnacentral:rRNA from 1 species